AGAGUUUGAUCAUGGCUCAGAUUGAACGCUGGCGGCAGGCUUAACACAUGCAAGUCGAGCGGUAGCACAAGAGAGCUUGCUCUCUGGGUGACGAGCGGCGGACGGGUGAGUAAUGUCUGGGAAACUGCCUGAUGGAGGGGGAUAACUACUGGAAACGGUAGCUAAUACCGCAUAACGUCGCAAGACCAAAGAGGGGGACCUUCGGACCUCUUGCCAUCAGAUGUGCCCAGAUGGGAUUAGCUAGUAGGUGGGGUAAUGGCUCACCUAGGCGACGAUCCCUAGCUGGUCUGAGAGGAUGACCAGCCACACUGGAACUGAGACACGGUCCAGACUCCUACGGGAGGCAGCAGUGGGGAAUAUUGCACAAUGGGCGCAAGCCUGAUGCAGCCAUGCCGCGUGUGUGAAGAAGGCCUUCGGGUUGUAAAGCACUUUCAGCGAGGAGGAAGGUGGUGAGCUUAAUACGUUCAUCAAUUGACGUUACUCGCAGAAGAAGCACCGGCUAACUCCGUGCCAGCAGCCGCGGUAAUACGGAGGGUGCAAGCGUUAAUCGGAAUUACUGGGCGUAAAGCGCACGCAGGCGGUUUGUUAAGUCAGAUGUGAAAUCCCCGGGCUCAACCUGGGAACUGCAUUUGAAACUGGCAAGCUAGAGUCUCGUAGAGGGGGGUAGAAUUCCAGGUGUAGCGGUGAAAUGCGUAGAGAUCUGGAGGAAUACCGGUGGCGAAGGCGGCCCCCUGGACGAAGACUGACGCUCAGGUGCGAAAGCGCGGGGAGCAAACAGGAUUAGAUACCCUGGUAGUCCACGCUGUAAACGAUGUCGAUUUGGAGGUUGUGCCCUUGAGGCGUGGCUUCCGGAGCUAACGCGUUAAAUCGACCGCCUGGGGAGUACGGCCGCAAGGUUAAAACUCAAAUGAAUUGACGGGGGCCCGCACAAGCGGUGGAGCAUGUGGUUUAAUUCGAUGCAACGCGAAGAACCUUACCUACUCUUGACAUCCAGAGAACUUUCCAGAGAUGGAUUGGUGCCUUCGAGAACUCUGAGACAGGUGCUGCAUGGCUGUCGUCAGCUCGUGUUGUGAAAUGUUGGGUUAAGUCCCGCAACGAGCGCAACCCUUAUCCUUUGUUGCCAGCGGUUCGGCCGGGAACUCAAAGGAGACUGCCAGUGAUAAACUGGAGGAAGGUGGGGAUGACGUCAAGUCAUCAUGGCCCUUACGAGUAGGGCUACACACGUGCUACAAUGGCAUAUACAAAGAGAAGCGACCUCGCGAGAGCAAGCGGACCUCAUAAAGUAUGUCGUAGUCCGGAUUGGAGUCUGCAACUCGACUCCAUGAAGUCGGAAUCGCUAGUAAUCGUAGAUCAGAAUGCUACGGUGAAUACGUUCCCGGGCCUUGUACA
rnacentral:rRNA from 1 species